rnacentral:lncRNA from 1 species
CAUUAUUGUGCUCUAAAACCAGGUGUUUCAGUUUCAUUGUCCAAGCCCUGUGCUCCGCAGUUCGUCCAGUUCGUUUGAUAGGGAAAUAGAUGAUGAAGAGAAGGGAUGGUAAAGGCUGUACUAAGAUAUAUGGUUUUUCUCUAUGAUGGAAGAUAUGUUAAGUGUGUGUUUUUAAAAAAUAGUUUAUAUAGCUCCAAAAUGGAUCAAAUAACCCAUUUUCAGUGUUGCCUAUGGCUCCUUGAUGCAUAAAUACCACAGUUUUAUCAUGUAAAAUAUAUCGUAAUUUUUGCUUUUUCAGAAUCCACACCCCAUAGCCUGCCCUAAUGGCACUUACAGCCAACAGCCAGGUCUGCGUGACCCUUCAGACUGCACUAAGUGUCCUGUGGGAAUGUACUGUUUCUCACACCAGCCCCAGGACAAGCCCAUCACUGAACCAACUGGAGGCUGUCCUGAUGGAUACUACUGUCCUGUGGGAACCGGACAUCCUCUUUCCUUCCCGUGUGAAUCAGGAUUUUUCAGGAAUGAGUCUUAUGGGCAUGAUGGAGGGAGUUGUGUGAAAUGUCCUGCAAGAUAUUACUGUGCCAGUGUGGCGACACACACGCCUACAGUGUGCCCAGAGGGUUUUUUCUGCCCCGAGGGCAGUUCUGCUGCAGAGCCGUGUGAGGAGGGUACUUACGGCUCUCGCUCAGCUUUGCGUGAGGUGUCAGAGUGCACCCCGUGUGGUGGAGGCAGGUACUGCGCUGGAGUUGGCCAGACAGAACCAUCAGGAGACUGCGAGGCAGGAUUUUACUGCAUGCAGAAAGCCACCAGUGCAGUAAGAACAUUAUAACUUUAUUAAAUAUAUAAAACAUAU